rnacentral:rRNA from 1 species
AACGCAGGUGGUUUGGUAAGUCAGGGGUGAAAGUCCGCAGCUUAACUGCGGCACUGCCUUUGAUACUGCCUUUCUUGAGUGCAUGAGGGGGAAGCGGAAUUCCGAGUGUAGAGGUGAAAUUCGUAGAUAUUCGGAGGAACACCGGUGGCGAAGGCGGCUUCCUGGCAUGUAACUGACACUCAUGUUCGAAAGCGUGGGGAGCAAACAGGAUUAGAUACCCUGGUAGUCCACGCCCUAAACGAUGGGCACUAGGUGUGGGAGGUAUCGACCCCUUCCGUGCCGCAGCUAACGCAUUAAGUGCCCCGCCUGGGGAGUACGGCCGCAAGGUUGAA